rnacentral:rRNA from 1 species
AUUGAACGCUGGCGGCAGGCCUAACACAUGCAAGUCGAGCGGAUGAAGGGAGCUUGCUCCUGGAUUCAGCGGCGGACGGGUGAGUAAUGCCUAUGAAUCUGCCUGGUAGGGGGGGAUAACGUCCGGAAACGGGCGCUAAUACCGCAUACGUCCUGAGGGAGAAAGUGGGGGAUCUUCGGACCUCACGCUAUCAGAUGAGCCUAGGUCGGAUUAGCUAGUUGGUGGGGUAAAGGCCUACCAAGGCGACGAUCCGUAACUGGUCUGAGAGGAUGAUCGGUCACACUGGAACUGAGACACGGUCCAGACUCCUACGGGAGGCAGCAGUGGGGAAUAUUGGACAAUGGGCGAAAGCCUGAUCCAGCCAUGCCGCGUGUAUGAAGAAGGUCUUCGGAUUGUAAAGCACUUUAAGUUGGGAGGAAGGGCAGUAAGUUAAUACCUUGCUGUUUUGACGGUACCAACAGAAUAAGCACCGGCUAACUUCGUG